UACAGAGGUCUCAAGCGUUGUUCGGAAUCACUGGGCGUAAAGGGUGCGUAGGCGGAACGCCAAGUCAGAUGUGAAAGACCGGGGCUCAACCCCGGAACGGCAUCCGAUACUGGCGAUCUAGAGGGCUCGAGAGGUGAGUGGAACUCCGAGUGUAGAGGUGAAAUUCGUAGAUAUUCGGAAGAACACCAGUGGCGAAGGCGACUCACUGGCCCGAUACUGACGCUGAGGCGCGAAAGCGUGGGGGA
rnacentral:rRNA from 1 species